UACUGCUAUAUUUCGUUUCUUUUCAUUUUCUGUGUAUUUUCAUUAUUAUUACCGUUGAGUGCCACCAGAGGGCGCUAUAGUGUAAGUGAGCUUUGUAAGAAGAAGUAGAGGUUAGUUUCGCAGAAGAAGCGAUCUCUCGAGAGAUCGAAAGAUGCGUGACUGAAGCGUGGUCACAAAGCUAACUUGUAAAGAAAGUUAAGAAACAAUAAGAAGAAGAAGACGACUGAAACUAAUUCCUCUCUCGGUACUCAGCCAACGAGGUAUUGUUUGUAUGUUGUAUUUGUCAGAAUCGUUUUAUGUGUUAAAUGUCUUUCUUUUGAGCUAAUUGUUGUUUGUUUGUGCUUUUAGUUUUCACGGUGUGUUUAUGAGUCUGAACAAGCUGGAUUCAAUAAAUUCAUCAGUUGGGAAAGCCACUUGUGUCUGUUGGUACCUGGAGGAGUUACAGUGAAAACUCGACUGAUCUGCGCGAGUGGAGGCGAGGCGGCAUGAUCGGAUGAGCAGCAGUCUUGCCACAGCGUGAUCGGCACGUGCACGGAGCGGGCGCGCGCACGAGACCAAAGCGGGAUUUGAAGACCAACACUUUAAGAUAAGGCCAUAAGAAAUGCGGACAUUCAUAAGUUAAGAGUUUGUCUGAAAAAAGGAAAACAAAACGCAAGUUUAAGGUUGAUUAAUCAAACUGUGAUUUAAAGCAACGUUUUGCUAUUCCUAAUUUUGUGUAUUAAGCCACAUUGUAAGGUCUAAAGCACUUAAGUUUAAGCAUCAGUAGGCUACAUUUGUUUUACACUGGCCUAUUUGUGCCAAGAAUGAGAAAUGUGUUUAAUGUGAACAGUUUAAAUGUGAAUAACUGUUAUUUGAAUACGUUUUUGGUAUAUUUAAGUUGAAAGGGUUAAGUUACUUUCACAUUACUGUAAAGAUUCAGUAUUACAUUUUUAUUUUAUUCUGCCUUUAUAUUUCAAAUGCCGACUGUCUAGGGGUGACUGUUAGUUUACAUAAACAUUUUUGCUGUUUAGUGACAAGUGACAGACGUUAAAAUGACUGAUCCAAAUACACCAUUAAUUAGUACAGAACCCCAAAGUCAGUCUGAAGAAACCCAAGGUACUGAUCCUAGUGAGCAGCAAGAAUCAGUACAACUUAGAAGAAGUCAGAGAGUGAAAACACUCACAGAAAAGGGAAGAGAAAUGCAGGAUGAGAAGAUUAAAGGACUCCAGCAAAGAUUUAACUACAACUACGAAAAGUGGAGAACACAUGCAAAGGCAUCCAAAGUACCCCUCUCUCAACCAGGACCCUCAAAUAAAGACAUUCUUGAAGAUAUAACUGGUGAUGUUAGAGGUCUUUGUGCAGAUGUCACAAAAGUUUUUGAUGAGUUACGCAAGCUCACCCCACCGGAUCAAGAGACACGUCGCAGAGUAGAUCUGUGUGUGGAGAUCUCAGGUUUCCUUGUGAAUAAAGCAACUUGCCGAUUGGAAGGAAGAGAGGAACAAGAUUGGCCGGAAGCAGGCUCCCUCUUUCAAACUACGAGCAGUAAGUCAAGCUCCUUCAACAUAACUAAGAACUCAUCUGAGCAUUCACAUAGAUCCUCUGUAAAACAUCAAGAAGCUGCCGCAGAAGCAGCAGCGAGUCAAGCUGUUCUAAAAAUAUUAGAAGAACAACAAAUGGAACAGCAAGAGAUAGAAAGACUAGAAGUUGAAGUCAGGAAAAGAGCAGUGGAACAAGAAACACUAAUUAGACAAAAGUGCUUAGAAAGAGAGGCUGAAGAAAUUAGAAAGCGCUUAGAAAGAGAGGCUGAAGAAGUUAGAAAGCGCUUAGAAAGAGAGGCUGAAGAAAUUAGCUUAAGAAUGCAGAGAGAAGCAGAUGAAGCAAAGUUUAAGGCUCAACAAGAAGAAGAGUAUGCAGCUCUGCAGAGAACACUUGAUGAAAAGAAAAGAAAGGUACAGCACCUGGAAAAGGUCAAAGAUCUCAAGGCAGCACAAGCAAGGAUGCAGGUUUAUGACCAAAUGAGUGUAGCAGAAGUGCAAAGGGUCGAUGUAACAAAGAUUAAUACAGAAAUUAGAGACGUUGAACAUGUAAGCUUUCCAUCUCUGCUUGAACAAGUCUCACCCCAAGCUGCAGGCACUCCUAAAGGUGAUGGUACAUCAGAUUUAGUUAAAGUGCUAGCAAGUGCACUAAGUACUAGUCGUAUCCCUGUUCCGGAACCUACUGUGUUUUCUGGGGAUCCCUUAAGUUACAGUGACUGGAAACUGUCAUUCCAAACACUGAUAGACCAAAAGAAUAUCCCUAACAAGGAGAAAAUAUUCUACCUUCGAAGAUAUGUGAGUGGACCGGCUAAGAGAGCAAUUGAAGGAUACUUCCUGCUUGGAACUGAAUCCGCACAUGCUGCUGCAUGGAAGAUUCUGGAUGAAAGAUAUGGAAAUCCAUUCACAAUAGCAAAAGCUUUUAGAGACAAACUGCAUGCAUGGCCCAAAAUGACCUCAAGAGACAGUUUCGAACUAAGGGACUUUGCAGAUUUCUUGCGCAGUUGUGAAGCUGCAACAGCUCACAUUAAGUCAUUAGAGAUCUUGAAUGACUGCAAUGAGAACCGAAAGAUUCUUUCCAAACUUCCAGACUGGCUUGCUGCUAGUUGGAACCGCAAGGUUGUUGAAAUUGAAGAACAAACAAAUCAGUUUCCCACUUUCAGCCAGUUUGUUGAGUUUUUAACGAGAGAAGCCAAGAUUGCUUGUAAUCCUGUUACAUCUUUACAGUCACUAAAACAAUGUGAGUUUAACAAAUCAGACAAACUGAAAUUUACCAAACAGAAAGAAAUUGGAGUUAAAACACUGAUGACGACUUCACAAGAAAAAACACAACUGGUAUGUGUGUUCUGCAAGAAACCCAAGCACAGUUUACACAAAUGCAGAAGUUUUCUUGAAAAGGCUGUGUCAGACAGAAUCAGCUUCAUUAAGUCGGAAAGGCUAUGUUUUGGUUGUCUCAAACCAGGCCAUCUUUCAAAGAGCUGUACCAACCGCAAUAUUUGUGAAAGGUGCAGUAAAGGGCAUCCUACCUGUCUUCAUGAAGAUAGAGUUAAGGACAAAGAAGAACAAAAGCAACCACUAGCUAAGCCAAAUCCAAGUAAGGAAAGAUCAAGUCAAAGCGACCGAGCUCAAGAACAAGUUACAGCCAUGGCUACAACUAACCGAGUAGCGAGUCAAGAAAAUAACACACUGACUGCUGCAAUCAUUCCUGUGUGGCUUUCAUCUUCUACAAAACACAAAGAAGUUCUUGUAUAUGCCUUACUGGAUUCGCAAAGCGAUACAACCUUUGUUCUCAGUGAAGUUGCAAAGUUGCUAGAUACAAACCAAGAACCGGUUAAACUAGAACUGUCUACCAUGUCUUCCCAGACUACAGUUGUUCAGUCUAACAGACUGCAAGAUCUUAAAGUUCGUGGUCUUAACUCAAGCAAAGAAAUCACUUUACCUCCUACAUACACACGAGAAUUCAUUCCAGCCAACAAAGCUCACAUUCCAACUAAUGAGACAGCUAAAGCUUGGCCACAUUUAGAACACCUUCAACCAGAAAUCGCACCUUUGCAAGAUUGCGAGGUAGGAUUGUUGAUCGGAUACAACUGCUCACAAGCUCUUCUUCCAAGAGAGAUUGUGUCAGGCAAGGAAGGUGAGCCAUACGCUCAGCGCACUGAUCUUGGUUGGAGUAUAGUUGGACAAACCAAUCCCUGCUUGAACUAUGGAGAUGCGAUUGGUAUUAGUCAUCGUAUUAUUGUCAAGAAGGUCAUCCCAGAGCUUAAGCCCUCUCUAAAGCUUCAGAACAAGGUCCACUAUGUCAAUAGGACAACAGUAAAGGACGUCACCCCUUCGGACGUUAUCAAAGCACUUGAAGGAGACUUCUCUGAAAGAGCCCUUGAUGGCAACCCUGUGUCACAAGAAGAUUUAAAGUUUCUCACAAAACUCAAAGAAAACAUCACACAGAAUGAGACCGGCCACUAUGAGAUGCCACUACCAUUUCGUGACGAAAGACCCACAUUACCAGACAACAGAAUAUGUGCAAUGCAUCGCCUAAGGUGUCUGGAAAGAAGAUUAAAGAAAGACAAGUCAUACUACAAUGAUUACACAAACUUCAUGGAUGAUAUCAUCUCAAGAGGAGAUGCUGAAAAAGUCCCUGACGAAGAGUUGAAUAACACUCCUGCAUGGUUUAUCCCACAUCAUGGGGUCUAUCACCCACACAAACCCGGCAGGAUCAGAGUAGUAUUUGAUGCCUCGGCCAAAUACCAAGACACUUCUCUCAACGACCAUCUUUUAUCCGGUCCUGACUUGACAAACGCAUUGGUUGGUGUUCUUUGUCGUUUCCGCAGAAGUUCUGUCGCAUUCAUGUGUGAUAUAGAGCGGAUGUUCCACCAGUUCCAUGUCGCAAAAGAGGACCAGGAUUAUUUAAGGUUUCUUUGGUGGGAGAAGGGAGAUUUGGAAGCAUCACCAUCAGUUUACCGUAUGAAGGUCCAUCUUUUUGGAGCAGCUUCUUCUCCAGGCUGUGCCAACUUUGGCCUAAAACACCUUGCGGCCCAAGGACAAGGUCAAUUCCAAGAAGACACCAUACAUUUCAUACAGAGAAACUUUUAUGUUGAUGACGGCUUGGCAAGCGUUCCAACUGAAAGUGAAGCCAUUCAGCUCAUCAAAGACUCAAGAGAGCUGUGUUUCAAAGGAAAGUUAAGACUCCACAAAUUUGUGUCAAAUAGUGAGAGAGUUAUGUCCACUAUUCCAGAAGAAGAGUGUGCCUCAGUGAAAGACCUUGACAUGUCUCUAAGUUUACCACGUAUUGAAAGAGCUCUCGGAGUGGAGUGGUGUGUCACUUCAGACACAUUCAAAUUCAGAGUUCAAGUUAAGUUGAACCCCCUUACAAGAAGAGGUGUGCUUUCUACGGUCGCCUCUAUUUACGAUCCCCUUGGGUUUAUAGCACCAUUCGUCCUCCUGGGAAAGCAGAUUCUCCAGCAAAUGUGCAAGGAUAAGGUUGGGUGGGACCACAAGCUUCCAGGGCACUUAAAACCCCAGUGGGAAUCUUGGAUUAAAGACCUUCCCAGUUUAGCCAACAUGCAGAUUCAAAGAUGUUUCAUUCCUACAGAUUUCGGUCAGGUUAAAAGCUACGAGCUUCAUCACUUCGCAGACGCCAGUGUCAAUGGAUAUGGUGCUUGUACUUACCUGCGAAUCAUUAACCAUUCUGAUCAAGUCCAUUGUUGCUUGGUAAUGGCCAAGUCAAGAGUCACGCCUACUAGUGUCACAACUAUCCCUCGACUCGAACUCUCAGCAGCAGUUGUUGCAGUUAGAGUCAGUGAUCUACUCAGGGCAGAGCUUGAAAUCCCAGACAUUGCAGAGUUUUUCUGGACGGACUCCACCGUUGUUCUCGGCUACAUAAAUAAUGAUGCCAAAAGGUUUCAAGUGUUUGUAGCGAAUCGGAUACAAAGGAUCAAGUCAAGCACAAGGCCAGAACAAUGGGCGUAUGUCGCAUCAGAGCAGAACCCAGCAGACUACGUUUCUCGAGGCUUAACUGCAGAGCAACUGAAGUCUUCAGAAUGGUUUCAGGGGCCAGCAUUUCUCUGGGAGAAGAACAUGGCUGAUAGAGAUAUCAAGGUGGGAGAGAUCAGGGAAAAUGAUCCAGAACUUCGCAAAGCUUCUGUGCAUACCAUCAAGUCAAAGGAAGAACAAACUAUUCUCAGCAGAUUUGAGAAGUUCUCAGGAUGGUCCAGUUUGAUAAGAGCACUUGCAAUCUUGAGAAGAAAGGCCAGAGAAUACAAGGGUGACAUACAAAGGACCAAAGAAAGUACAACUUUGGAAGAGAGAAAACAAACAGAACUGUUUGUCAUUAAACUUGUUCAAGAGAAAGCUUUCGCAGAAGAGAUAAAGAGUCUAAAAUCAAAGAAAACAGUUUCCAAGACCACAGAUCAUAAACUGUACAAACUAAGUCCGUUUCUGGACGAAAAGGGAAUCCUCAGAGUUGGGGGACGUUUGAGUCAAGCUGUGCUUCACCCACAUGUAAAACAUCCUGCCAUACUUCCCAAGGACAGUCACAUUUCAACUUUGUUAAUCAGACAUUUUCACUCGAAGGUUCAACAUCAAGGUCGUGGAAUGACGAUGAAUGAGUUGCGUGCAAACGGUUGGUGGAUUCUUGGGAGCAGCUGUGCAGUCUCAUCAUACAUCUUCAAAUGUGUUAAAUGUCGCAAAUACAGAAGGAAAACAGAGAAUCAAAGUAUGGGAGAUUUGCCAGUAGACCGAACAGAGCCUAAUCCGCCUUUCACCUAUGUCGGAAUGGAUUGCUUUGGGCCAAUAUACAUAAAGGAUGGACGAAAGGAGCUCAAGAGAUAUGGGCUCGUACUAACCUGUUUAUGUUCACGAGCCAUACAUAUUGAAGUAGUAGACGACCUGAGUACAGACGCAUUCCUAAAUGCUCUGCGAGCAUUUAUUGCAAUAAGAGGAAAUGUACGUCAGCUGAGAUGUGACAGAGGAACCAAUUUCAUUGGUGCCCAGAGAGAACUCGCAGAUCUCAUGAAAGAAAUGAAUCAGGAGAAAGUGAAGGCACUUGGAUGUGAAUUUCUCAUGAAUCCCCCUUCAGCAAGCCAUAUGGGUGGAAUAUGGGAAAGACAGAUCAGGACCAUCCGUAGUGUUCUUUCAGCCAUCCUUGACCAAUCAGCAAAGAGACUCGACAGUACAUCCUUGAGGACCUUGUUGUACGAGGUCAUGGCAAUUGUCAACAGUAGGCCGCUUUCCGUCGAGCACUUAAGUGAUCCAACAGGGCCUGAGCCGUUAACGCCCAACCACAUUCUCACUAUGAAGUCAACCAUUGUUCAACCUCCUCCAGGAGAGUUUAUGAAAGAAGAUUUGUAUCUUCAAAAAAGAUGGAGAAGAGUGCAAUAUUUGGCCAAUGAGUUUUGGAUCCGUUGGAGGAAAGAAUAUUUGCUCAACUUGCAACCAAGACAGAAGUGGACUGCACACAGGAGGAAUCUGAAGGUGAAUGAUGUAGUGCUUCUAGGAGAGGACAUGGCACCACGUAAUGAAUGGAAGCUAGCCAAAGUCACUGAUAUCUAUCCAGGAACCGACGACAGAGUGAGAAAGGUUCGACUUUUGGUUACUGAAAGGACAUAUGACAAACGCAGUAAACUUGUGACUAAAACAGUCUCAUUAGAACGACCUAUUCAUAAAGUUAUUGUUUUGCUAGAAGCUGACUAAGGGCUUGUGUGUAUUUUCAUGUUCAGUUUGGCAGCCUGAAUGUAAUUCAUAGGAAUCCCACAGCAAGAGUUGUGAGAUUGGUGGGAGUGUUACUGCUAUAUUUCGUUUCUUUUCAUUUUCUGUGUAUUUUCAUUAUUAUUACCGUUGAGUGCCACCAGAGGGCGCUAUAGUGUAAGUGAGCUUUGUAAGAAGAAGUAGAGGUUAGUUUCGCAGAAGAAGCGAUCUCUCGAGAGAUCGAAAGAUGCGUGACUGAAGCGUGGUCACAAAGCUAACUUGUAAAGAAAGUUAAGAAACAAUAAGAAGAAGAAGACGACUGAAACUAAUUCCUCUCUCGGUACUCAGCCAACGAGUUUUCACGGUGUGUUUAUGAGUCUGAACAAGCUGGAUUCAAUAAAUUCAUCAGUUGGGAAAGCCA